GGGGAUGUAACGGAUUCGACGGGGAUACAGAGAUUUGAUAAGCGGGCGGAUGUGACCUGCAUCCUAAAAAGGUCAACUCUUAUAAAUUAAAGAACAACGAUAAUACUGUUCUUCUCGCUGCUUGAUCAGUGAGCGUCUGUUUCGGGAAUACCACGGCCCGAUCUCAGGCGUCGAUUAGUGGUGCACGUGAGCUUUCAAAGCUUUGAGAAGGCCAUGAAUAAUGAAGCUACCUGACUUCUGAGUCUGACAACUGACGCUUAAGAAAGGGAAUCUCAAAUAAUUGUCUGCGCCCGGAGAAAGUUAUUUUGAAGUGUUUUCGGACGGGGGUUCAACUCCCCCCAUCUCCACCA
rnacentral:tmRNA from 1 species